ACUCCGAAUACCAAUAAUUAAUUAUACAGCAGACACACUAUGGGUGCUAAGUCCGUGGUGGAAAGGGAAACAGCCCAGAUCACUAUCUAAGGUCCCAAAAUUACAGCUAAGUGGGAAAGGAAGUAGAAAAACCAUUACAGCUAGGAGGUUGGCUUGGAAGCAGCCAUCCUUUAAAGAAAGCGUAACAGCUCACUUGUCUAAAUAAGUUUUUCUGCGCCGAAAAUGUACCGGGGCUAAAGCUGUAUACCGAAGAUGUGGGUGCUUAUUAAUUUCGAUUAAUAGGCGCGGUAGCGGAGCGUUCCGUAAGUCUGUGAAGGUGGUUUGUAAAAACUGCUGGAGAUAUCGGAAGUGAGAAUGCUGACAUAAGUAGCGUAAAAGAGUGUGAAAAACACUCUCACCAAAAAUCUAAGGGUUCCUACGUUAAGUUAAUCUGCGUAGGGUUAGUCGGUUCCUAAGGCGAGUCCGUAAAGGAGUAGUCGAUGGCAAUUAGGUUAAUAUUCCUAAACCUCUUAAGUGUGACGGGUUUUGUAUUUGUAUAGGUCUUAUUGGAUUGAUCUAUGCUUAAAAGAAGCUCCAGGAAAUAGCACUUAUAUUUAUGAGGCCGUACCGUAAACCGACACUGGUGGAUGAGUAGAGUAUACUAAGGUGUUGAAAGAAUGAUGUUGAAGGAACUCGGCAAAUUAUACCUGUAACUUCGGAAGAAGGGUAACCUGCUUUUAGGCAACUAUAAGUAGGUGGCACAAAAUAGGGAGUAGCGACUGUUUACUAAAAACACAGGACUCUGCAAACACGUAAGUGGAAGUAUAGGGUCUGACGCCUGCCCGGUGCUGGAAGGUUAAUAGGAGGGGUGCAAGCUCUGAAUUGAAGCCCCAGUAAACGGCGGCCGUAACACUGACGGUCCUAAGGUAGCGAAAUUCCUUGUCGGGUAAGUUCCGACCCGCACGAAUGGCGUAACGAUUUCUCCACUGUCUCCAACAUCACUUCAGCGAAAUUGAAUUCCCCGUGCAGAUGCGGGGUACCCGCGGUUAGACGAAGAGACCCCGUGCACCUUUACUAUAGCUUUACAUUGCUAUUAAAAGUGUGAUGUGCAGGAUAGGUGGGAGACUUUGAAGUUAUGGCGCUAGCUAUAAUGGAGUUAACCUUGAGAUACCACCCUUUACACUUUUGAUAUCUAACUAUGUUUCAUUAUCUGGAACUAGGACAUUGUAUGGUGGGUAGUUUGACUGGGGCGGUCGCCUCCUAAAAAGUAACGGAGGCGUGCGAAGGUAAGCUAGAGCUGGUCGGAAAUCAGCUUGAUAGUACAAUGGCAUAAGCUUGCCUGACUGCGAGGCUGACAAGCCAAGCAGAGACGAAAGUCGGUCAUAGUGAUCCGGUAAUUCUGUAUGGAAGGGUUAUCGCUCAACGGAUAAAAGGUACGCCGGGGAUAACAGGCUGAUGGUGUUCGAGAGUUCAUAUCGACGACACCGUUUGGCACCUCGAUGUCGACUCAUCACAUCCUGGGGCUGGAGAAGGUCCCAAGGGUUCGGCUGUUCGCCGAUUAAAGUGUUACGUGAGUUGGGUUUAGAACGUCGUGAGACAGUUCGGUUUCUAUCUGCCGUGGGUGAAGGAAAUUUGAGAAGAUCUGACUCUAGUACGAGAGGACCGAGAUGUAUAUACCUCUGGUGUACCAGCUGUUAUGCCAAUAGCAUCGCUGGGUAGCUAUGUAUAGAUGGGAUAAUUGCUGAAAGCAUAUAAGCAAGAAACCCUCUUCAAAAAAAUUUCCCAAUUAAGGCCGUGGGAGACUACCACGUUGAUAGGCUAGGUG
rnacentral:rRNA from 1 species